UACGGGGGGGGCAAGCGUUGUUCGGAAUUACUGGGCGUAAAGGGCUCGUAGGCGGCCAACUAAGUCAGACGUGAAAUCCCUCGGCUUAACCGGGGAACUGCGUCUGAUACUGGAUGGCUUGAGUUUGGGAGAGGGAUGCGGAAUUCCAGGUGUAGCGGUGAAAUGCGUAGAUAUCUGGAGGAACACCGGUGGCGGAAGGCGGCA
rnacentral:rRNA from 1 species